rnacentral:rRNA from 1 species
UACGGGGGGGGCAAGCGUUGUUCGGAAUUACUGGGCGUAAAGGGCUCGUAGGCUGCCAACUAAGUCAGACGUGAAAUCCCUCGGCUUAACCGGGGAACUGCGUCUGAUACUGGAUGGCUUGAGGUUGGGAGAGGAUGCGGAAUUCCAGGUGUAGCGGUGAAAUGCGUAGAUAUCUGGAGGAACACCGGUGGCGAAGGCGGCAUCCUGGACCAAUAUUGACGCUGAGGAGCGAAAGCCAGGGGAGCAAA